rnacentral:lncRNA from 1 species
UUGAUUACACAGCCCCUCGUUAAGCGGAUCCUGUGGCGCAUAUGAUGCGUGGAGCCCCUACACGGGAGAUACUUGUGGAGGAGGAGGGGGAGUGUGUGGUGAGGAUUCAUGCGGUAGUAGGUUUGCAUACGUGUGCAUGUAGGGGAAGGAAGAGGAGGUAGUGUGGUGAGGGGUGAAUGAUGGCCUGCGGUGGUUUACCUUUCCGGGUCGGUGAUCACUCAUGUACGGAUGUGUGCGAGCACAGCGGCGAUAAUGCGGAGAGCCAAAAGUGCUGGAUGGCAGCGCCAGGAGCGGUGGAGGUAGCACCUGGCAGCUGAUGCCGUGUAGAGAUGGGAAAGCAAGCCACUUAACAAGUGGAACUGAUUAGGUGCUAAUGCUUGUGGGUUUUGGGGAUGAUUGGCUAUUGUUUCUCAAGCUGAGCCAGUUUUGGUGAGGCGUUGGUAUUUGUUUUGGGGGUUCGUAACCAGCUGCAACUACAGCAAGA